ACGUGAGCUGGGGAAUCCCCUGCCUCCCAAAGUCUAACCCCUGUCCAGGAGGCACCGGUUCUCCCGGGAGGCAAGCACUGAUAUCAUCCAUCCAAGAGCUACUAGCCUAGCCCCCCGACUGAAGGCCAUUGUGGGGCUGUUCAGGGCAGGGCGGAGGAAACCGUUCUGGACGAGACCUGAGCUCGCUACUACGCGGCCGUGGUAAGUUACCGAGUCUCCAUUUCUUCAUUCUGGGAAAUGAGAAUAAGGCUCUUACUGCCUACACCACAGAGGCUGAAAGCACUUUGUAAACCUGAAAGCUUUAUAGAAAUCUGAGCCUUUGUUAUUAUGAUCUAGGUAAGGAAGAUUGUGCUGGGCGGGAGGGAGGAGAGAGAGCCUCAGAUUUAAGUCUGGCAGACCCUGAGUCGGGGCAGGGAACGGAGCCUGAGGGCAGAGUGGAACGGGGGGCUUGCCCCGAACCCAGGCUUAGAGCGUCCUAAAGAAGCCCAGCAGGAGCGGAGCAUGGAGGGGAGAUCGAGGGAGAAGUACUGGGGAGCAGAGGGGCGUAAAGAAAGGCAGGCGAGAGGAACAAGAAAGCAGUCAAGCGGGCAGGAUCUGAACGUUAUAUGCAUAGAUGCGUGAAAUAUUAAUAGGUAUAUUGGGUUUACUCCAGACAUGUAAACUCUUUCUACCGCUGCAAAUUAGGUACUUUCUUCGCAACUUAAAGUCUCAGAGUUUGCUAGAACACUAAGAUGUUGUCACACAGCUAGUAGUUGUCGGAGGCAGAACUCUUCCCACGUCUUCUUGAUUACAGAGCUGACUCUCUUGUCAUUAUGACAAAACUGCCCUCUCUUUUACUAUUUAUGAUAAAUAGUGAUCGUCAUUAUCAUAAGUAGCUGGGUAUAUAUAUAGUCAGGGCUUAAUAGAUAUUCCUUGAUUGAUUGCAUGAUCAUGGGCAAGUCUGUUAACCUUUCAGUGCCCACACACCCCAUUUUUAGACUUGAAUUUUUUAAUUGAUUUGUUAUUUUUACAUCACCUACAGUGAUAAUCAAUAGUCAAUAAACACUUAUUAGGUGCCUUUUAUGUGCUAGGCACUUUGCCAAGCGCUGAGGAUACAAAUAUAAAAAAGACAGUCACCUGAUCUCAAGGAGGUUACAAGUUAAUGGGAAAGACAACACACAAAAGAAAAAUUUGGGGGGGAAGGGAUGAUUUUAUCUGGUAUAGAGAGCUACAAUUAUUUUUACAAAUUUUAUUCUAAACUUAACACAUAGCCAACAAAAUGAGCACACUGCACAAAUAUAUAUAUAUUAGAACAGAAAAAAAAGACUAUGAAUCUCUUGUGUUCAGCAUACUUUUCUUUUAAAAUACACAAUAUAUAUACUUUUCAAAGCUGUCCCGAUUGUCUUUGAUUCUUUUUGAUCUUCUAUUCCCUUCUCUGCAUUUGUAAAAAAAAAAAAAAAAAGUAACGAUGGCUUCUUUUCUCUCCCUUUUUAGGGCUUCCUCUCCUCACUGGGAAAAGAAAAAAGAAAAGAUUUUUCUUUAUGAAUUAUUGUUUAACUUGUUUUCCUAGUUGUGAUCACUUACUUCACUCUGACUCAGUUCAAACAAGCCUUUCUCAGUUUCUCUGAAAUCAUCCCUUUUCUCAUAUUUUAUGAGGGCAAUACUAUUUCAUUACAUUCAUAUUUCAUAAUUUGCUCUGUCUCUCCCCAGCUGAUUGUCAUUCUUCAGUUUCUGGUUCUUUGCUAUAUAAUUGAGUUAUUAUAAAUAUUUUUGCACUUUUCCUUUAUCUCUGUAGGGUCUGGAUCUAAUAAUGAUAUUGGUGGAUUAAAAUGUAGACACAAUUUAGUGACUUUUGGAGCAUAGUUCCAAACUGUUUUCCAGAAUACUAAAAUUGCAAUUUACAACUCCACUAAUAGAAAAUCAAUAUGCUUGUUUUUCCUAGCCCCUCCAGCAAUUGUCAUUUUCCCAUUGUUGUCAUUUUUGCCAAUCUGAUCGGGAUAUUACUUAAUUUCCCAAUAUAGCCCUCUUCUCUGUGUCUUCUUAAAUUACAGACAGAUUAUUAGUCUGCAAUGGAAACAGUUUCAACACACACCUUUCUCAGCAAAUAAAAUGGAAGAAUUCUUAAAAUUCUACAAAAUUCCUAAAAUAAUAUCUUACUUUUUGCAUAACUCUUUUCCAUUUACAAAGCACUUUCACAUCAAGUCUCCCAACUGAUUCUCAUAUUUAUUUUGUGAAGCUAGAGAGAGAGGAAACCUGAGAAUCAGAAAGGUUAAGGGACUAGGUGGGGGGGGGAGGGGGUCAUACAAUUAGUUUGAUAUCAAAUUAACAUAGUCUCUAUCCCUAAAGAGUUUGCAGUGUAAAUGAGGAUUUAACACAAUCCACAUACACAUACAAAGCCUUUCAAAAUAGGUGAGGGAGGCGAAUGAGGACCAUAAUGCACGUCACUAUUUAAGGAUAAAAGGAAAUGCCAGAUAAUUGAAUAAUUGGGAUUAAGAAAGGAAAUUAUAGAGGACAAGCUGAAGAGUUUGGGAUGGAACUAUGAAAGGGUUUGGUGGGCAGCAAGACAUUUAGAACUUGAGAGAAUGGCAUAUACUCAGUCUUGGAAGUUGGGAAUGGGCAAAUCAUUUGUAGGGUGGACAAUAAAUUGGAAUCUGGGAGUAAGUAAUAAGAAGUGAAAGUGUUAUUUCCCUAACCUCUCCCUCAUUCCAUCCUCCCCUUCCCACAAACUUCCACAUUUGUCUUCAACUUUGUUCAUAUGGCUCCUACCUUGUCUUCUCCUACUUCUUUCCAUCUUUCUAGAUCGAGUCAAAUCUCCUUCAUGAGGCCAUCUUGGUGGUGUGGGAAAAAACUGGGACCUGGAAUCAGGAGAGCAAGCUUUCUAUCUACUAGCUGACCUUAGACCACCCCAGAGCACUAUGAUCUGUUCCUACUCCCUUCUGCUAGGAUCCUCUCCAUAUAUCAAGUCUUUUUCCUCUCCUCCUUUGAAACAUCUAUGAUUUAGAAGGUGUAAAGAUGAAGAAACAGGUCCAGAGAGAAGUAUUGCCCGAGAUCACACCGGGAGUAAUGGAACAGAAUUCGGCUGUUGUGCUCUGUGCGUUCCCUGGCAUAAAGAAUAUACUUGGAGCCAUAAAUGAGAUCUCUGAGGGGAGUGAGCUAAAUGAGCAGAAAUGACAUCUGAAGAUUGAACUUGGGGAAUCCCAUCUUUUUGGAGGUGGAAGAAAAGAGCUAAGUAUUGAAGAAUGCAGGUUCAACAUGUGCUGAAAUACUCAUAGCCAACACUCUUUUAUGGCUAGCAAAGAACUCUGAAACAAAGUGGGUGCAUAUUAAUUGACAAACAGCUGAAAAAACCAUGUUAUUUGAAUAUGUUGGAAUGUUAUUGUUUAGUGAAAAUGAAGAAUAAGAGGAAUUCAGAGAAAUGUGGGAAGAAUAGAAUGAAUUAAUGAUGCAGCUUUGAAAUAAGCAUAGCUAAGAAAGUAAUAUGCAUAACGAUCACAACAAUGCAAAAGAUCUCUAAAAGGAAACAAGUGCUGAAUAUAUUUGAAAAAGCAGUGAAAGUCAUCUAAGAAGAUGCUGAAACAGAUCAGGUCUCCCUUAGACCAGAAAGACUGAGAUAUGCUUGGACAAAAAGUUAUCUAUAUUCUCUGAUUCUGUCACAGUAUCAGAUAUUUCUGUUGAUUUUUAUUUUAUUUUUUAAAGGGAAAAAAAUUUGGGGAAGGAUAAGAAAAAGAUGUUGCAGAAAAAUAGGAGAACUGGGAGUGUAAUAUAUCAUAGAAUUCAGAAAGGAGGCAUCAAAUUGGUGUGCUCAAAUGGGAAGAAGGGACUAGAGAGCCACAAAGAUUUUCUUUCCCCGCCCCAAGCACCCCAAGAAGACCCUAUAAGUGACCUAUAAGGAAGGACUAAUUUAAAGGACAUUGACCAUUCCCUCAACUUGCCUAAACAUUUUCAAUUAACUUUGUUGUAUUAAUUGAAAUUCUACCAAUUAAAAAUUCAUUUGGCUUGAAAAA